rnacentral:rRNA from 1 species
AGUGAACGCUGGCGGCGUGCCUAAUACAUGCAAGUCGAACGGAGUGGCGCACGGGUUAGUAAAGUAUAGCUAAUCUGCCCUAUACUCUACGCCAACAAUUGGAAUAGGCUGCUCAUACUCUAUCGUGUAGGAUGAGUCUAUAUUGUCUCAGCUAUUUGGUGCCGUAAUGGCUCACGAAGGCUAUGACGCGUAACUGGUCUGAGAGGAUGAUCAGUAACACUGGAAGGGAGACACGGGCAAGAAUCCUUCGGGAGGCAGCAGUAGUGAAGAUUGCUCAAUGGGGGAAACCCUGAAGCAGCAACGGAGCGUGGAGGAUGACACUUUUCGGAGAGUAAACUCCUUUUGUAAGGGAAGCGUUACCUAACGAAUAAGCACCGGCUAACUCCGUGCCAGCAGCCGCGGUAAUUC